CCUCUCUAAAUUGUUGACACGAUUCGAUAAAUAGUGUUUGUGGCGGCACAAUAACACGUUGGUAAGCGGAGAAAGAUAAGUGGCCUCGUGGUCUAGUGGUUAGGAUACCUGCCCGGCAAGCGGGUCUCGUGUGGUUCCAUUCCGGAGGCAGCAACAUAAAUAUUUAUUACUCCGUAAGGGAACAGUGAAACUUUGUCACACAUCGUUGCAAUGAGUUGCAAACUUGGGCAUAGUCCACAAAGUUGCAGGAAUUCCUGGAAUUCGUCCCAAGCCGCUUGAAGCGAGUACCUAUUCCCACACAACUAAUAUGACUCGAUCAUAAACGCUUUCUACUUCAAGGGAAAUGUCAUGUUUGGAAGCAACACCAAUCAAGAACACAGCAAAAGUAAGGCUAGAAAGGACGUUUCAAGUGACAGUUCGACAGGUUACAGCGAGUUGAUUAACAAAUUAACGUAGAAUUUAAAUCAGAGUUAAAAAUCAC